rnacentral:lncRNA from 1 species
AGCAAUCUACACACAUACACUCACACACCCCGUCCCUUUCCCUCCUCGCAGAAGCCGAGGAGAUGCCAUGUGAGGGUGCAGCGAGGAGUUGGGCUGUCUAAAAGCAAAGAAAGAGAUUGCAUCAGACACCGCAUCUGCUGACACCUUGUUCUUGGACUUCCAGCUUCCAAAACCGCGAGAAAUAAAUGUCUGUGUCUAAACCCCAACCCUACCACCUCAACUGCCGUGUGUGGUGUUUUGUGAUGGCAGCCCCAGCUGACUGAGACACCUGGUUAGACCGGAAUAAGCAGGCUGCAAUCGGUAGCAGUCACCAUUGAACAUCCUUGAAGCAAUUCUUCCAAAAUUACCUUGCAUCAAAGACUGCACAAGAACUGCUCUAAGCGGAAGGACUGAUGUCGGCAACCAGGGUUCCACCAGGGGCUGCAGACAGCCCUUGACCUUCAGGUGGGAAGGUGUCACUGAGUUCAGACCCUCUGGCAAUCCCUAGCUAUCAACAUUUUGAUAAGAAAAUAAGUGGAAAGGUAGAACUGGAAGAUUUUGCUGAAAGAUUGGACAUGGCAUUCAGAGAAACAGAGGUUUUAAUGACAAACUCCAAGUUUUUGGCUGGAGCAACUGGAAGAAUGAGGUUGCCAUGAACCGAAAAGAGAGAUUGCAGAAGUAACCAAAUUUACUCACGUAGGCCAGGAAUUUCUAUGACGUGUUCCAAAUUCAGCCUCUCACUGAACACUUCCAGAGCAAGGCAACAUAAACAUCUGCAAGAAGAACAUUGUGUGAGAAAUAUCAAGUGAGAGUGGAAGAGUCUGCGGAGGGCCUCCCUGGGGCUCACCUGUGCUUUUGCCUGAGCUUCACCGUGUCAAGGAUGCAGCACUUUUUCCCUCUGGAGGAAGCAGCUUUCACCUUGGAAGAAUCUUGACCUUGCCAUUCAAAGUCACCAGACAGGGAAUCUGCCAGUGCCUUGAUCUUAGACUUCCCAGCUUCUGUAACUGUGAGCAAUAAAUGUAUGCUGCUUAUAAACUA